CUGGUUGACUCUGAACAAGGCAUUUUCAUCUACACGCACGUCCCCCCUCCACUUAUAUUCACCCCCUCCGUUUCAACGAGAUAACAGCUGCUACUGAAAGCCUCCCCUCCCGCCCACAGCUGUUCUCGCAGCUCCAUGAUCCCCUCAGGCCAUGAGGCACACUGUAUUGCACUGUAACAAUAACAACGCCUGGCGCGCAACAUCAUUUCCCCGCCAUCGCGGCUAAGGCGUGUGCCAUGUGACAGGCUCCGACCUAUCGCGCCGCUGGGAUCCCAGUCACCGACAGUUUGGCGCCAAGAUGAAUGAGCCCAGAUUGAGGCUGUAUCAUGGGACUAAUGACAGUGUCACAAGUUGGCAGGUGUUCCAGAGCAUGAAGGAUGCUAAAUUGUGUGUUUAAUUGGGGAUGGAUAAAUAACGGGGAAACAACUCACUGGCACAAGGAACAGUUCAGAAUGAGCCAGAGUCUCUACAGUAGGUACAAAUGUUAGGGUAGGAAAUAAGGCACAAAUCAGAAUAGGAGCUGGAUACAAUGAAGCAUAAAGAAACACCUGAAAAGGAAUAAAGGAAGGACUGGAAACCGGUUCAAUGUGUUAAGAAACACUUAUCUCCCAAUUCAGUUUCAGAUUGUCCCAUACAACCAGAUGGAAUCCAACGAGAAGAUAUUAUUUUAUGGUUUAUCGUGUGAAAACUUAUAGGCAAAAUUCAAUUUGAGUCGAAAAAACUUUUUACCUAAUUCA